GAUGAACGCUGGCGGCGUGCCUAAUACAUGCAAGUCGAGCGAACGGACGAGAAGCUUGCUUCUCUGAUGUUAGCGGCGGACGGGUGAGUAACACGUGGAUAACCUACCUAUAAGACUGGGAUAACUUCGGGAAACCGGAGCUAAUACCGGAUGAUAUUUUGAACCGCAUGGUUCAAAAGUGAAAGACGGUCUUGCUGUCACUUAUAGAUGGAUCCGCGCUGCAUUAGCUAGUUGGUAAGGUAACGGCUUAUCAAGGCAACGAUGCAUAGCCGACCUGAGAGAGUGAUCGGCCACACUGGAACUGAGACACGGUCCAGACUCCUACGGGAGGCAGCAGUAGGGAAUCUUCCGCAAUGGGCGAAAGCCUGACGGAGCAGCGCCGCGUGAGUGAUGAAGGUCUUCGGAUCGUAAAACUCUGUUAUUAGGGAAGAACAUAUGUGUAAGUAACUGUGCACAUCUUGACGGUACCUAAUCAGAAAGCCACGGCUAACUACGUG
rnacentral:rRNA from 1 species